GAUCCGGCUCAGGAUGAACGCUAGCGACAGGCUUAACACAUGCAAGUCGAGGGGCAGCAUGAUUUGUAGCAAUACAGAUUGAUGGCGACCGGCGCACGGGUGAGUAACGCGUAUGCAACUUACCUAUCAGAGGGGGAUAGCCCGGCGAAAGUCGGAUUAAUACCCCAUAAAACAGGGGUCCCGCAUGGGAAUAUUUGUUAAAGAUUCAUCGCUGAUAGAUAGGCAUGCGUUCCA
rnacentral:rRNA from 1 species